rnacentral:lncRNA from 1 species
AAACAUGUUCCCAUGCCAGCUAGGCUGGGCUGCAAAAGUGACGUGCGUCUCAUUUCUGUUUCUCCCUGAGCCCCUCCACGCAUCAGGCCCGCCUGAGGCAGAAGCAGAAGAGACAGGCUCCUUCCUCGCUCUGAGGAGUUCCAGCAGCACCGACGGGAGAAGACCAGGCUGACCCAAGGUCCAGGUGGCCGUCAGAACGCACGCAUUUCGCUGGAUGUGUCUGAGAGCCGCUGGAUUCGUGAGAUUCACUGCUGGUCUUCGUGAACGUCCCCAAAACAGGCUGCAGCUCCCCACUGGCUGAUGGCCUGCUCUCUGCUUCCCUUGCACGUGUGGGUGGGGGAUGCCCCUCCCACCGUGUUCUGAGGGUUGGGAUUUGCUGGCUGGGUGUGCCCCUUGCUAGAGUUGGGAGCCAGGGUGCCCAGGCGGGACCCACCUCACAGCCACAGGCAGUGAGACAGCGGGCGGAGGGGUCGGCCUCUUCCCCGGAGACACUGGAUGGUUCACGGAUGGUCACGGGCCAGGCGAAGUGGAGGUCCUGGAGCUCGGCUGGCACUUGGGCCCCCUUUCCGGCAGCCCCAUGUGAGGAGACAGACAAAGGGAGAGAUCUCAGGGUGGACAACGCUGGCCUUCAGCUCACGCGUUUCCGGUUCAGCGGUGCACGGUGAACGGACUUCUCCUGAUGGCUGACGGCAGCCACACAAGGUAAAAGCAGGCGAACAUUCUCAGGACAUCAUGUAAGAUGCCAAAGACGUCGGUUCUUUGUUCGACUCCCUGGAUCUGCUGAGCCAGCUGGUGACAACGGAGAAAAGCGUCACACAAAGCAGAAAGCGUCACACAAGGGCCCAGGCGGGUUCAGCGGCUCCUGCAGGGUGGCCCAGGGGCCCUGGCACCCCCUCCCUGGGCAGCAGUCACCAUCUUCGGUUUCGGGGUUCCCUUUCAGAGGUGAGGGCUCCCGUUUCGGGUGAUGACACAGACGGCCUUCUUCUUCCAGCGACCAGCGCUGUCCCCAGGCCACGGUGCCUCUCUUGGGCUGGAAUCCAGAGGCCUGUAGCAGCCACAGUCUCUGUCCCUGCCGCGUGUUCAUGAUUCUGGUCCUAGAGGUUGUUGACGACAUUCAAGGUGGCUGUGUUUUUCCUUAAUUCUAAAGGUUUGCGCAGACACGCAGCGAAAAGCGUGAACUCAACACCCUGCCUUCACUGCAAGUUCUCCUUACUCAUGAAAACAGAGAAACACACUUUUACA